rnacentral:rRNA from 1 species
AUCGAUGAAGAACGCAGCGAAAUGCGAUAAGUAAUGUGAAUUGCAGAAUUCAGUGAAUCAUCGAAUCUUUGAACGCACAUUGCGCCCCUUGGUAUUCCGAGGGGCAUGCCUGUUCGAGCGUCAUUACACCAAUCAAGCCUGGCUUGGUAUUGGGCCUUCGUCCCCCCUUCCCGGGAGGGCGUGCCCCGAAACCUUCGGCGAAGUCUCAUCGGCUUUGGGCGUAGUAGAAUUACUUCAAAACGUUCACGAGUCCGGCGAGGUCUUCUGCCGCUAAACCCCCAAUUUUUUCAGGUUGACCUCGGAUCAGGUAGGGAUACCCGCUGAACUUAAGCAUAUCAAUAAGCGGAGGAAAAGAAACCAACAGGGAUUGCCCUAGUAACGGCGAGUGAAGCGGCAACAGCUCAAAUUUGAAAUCUGGCCCCUUUAGGGUCCGAGUUGUAAUUUGUAGAGGAUGCUUUUGGGCAGUCUUCCGGUCUAAGUUCCUUGGAACAGGACGUCAUAGAGGGUGAGAAUCCCGUAUGUGACCGGUUAGGCACCCUCCGUAAAGCUCCUUCGACGAGUCGGGUUGUUUGGGAAUGCAGCCCUAAAUUGGAGGUAAAUUUCUUCUAAAGCUAAAUAUUGGCCAGAGACCGAUAGCGCACAAGUAGAGUGAUCGAAAGAUGAAAAGCACUUUGGAAAGAGAGUUAAAAAGCACGUGAAAUUGUUGAAAGGGAAGCGCUUGCAAUCAGACUCGGUUUUGGCUGUUCAGCCGGUCUUCUGACCGGUCCAUUCAGUCAUUGUCGGCCCAGCGUCAGUUUCGGCGGUCGGAUAAAGGCUUUGGGAAUGUAGCUCCCUCGGGAGUGUUAUAGCCCUUUGCGUAAUACGGCCAGCCGGGACUGAGGUCCGCGAUUCGUCCAGGACGCUGGGGUAAUGGUUGUAAGCGGCCCGUCUUGAAACACG